GACGAACGCUGGCGGUGUGCUUAACACAUGCAAGUCGAACGGAAAGGCCCUGCUUUUGUGGGGUGCUCGAGUGGCGAACGGGUGAGUAACACGUGAGUAACCUGCCCUUGACUUUGGGAUAACUUCAGGAAACUGGGGCUAAUACCGGAUAGGAGCUCCUGCUGCAUGGUGGGGGUUGGAAAGUUUCGGCGGUUGGGGAUGGACUCGCGGCUUAUCAGCUUGUUGGUGGGGUAGUGGCUUACCAAGGCUUUGACGGGUAGCCGGCCUGAGAGGGUGACCGGCCACAUUGGGACUGAGAUACGGCCCAGACUCCUACGGGAGGCAGCAGUGGGGAAUAUUGCACAAUGGGCGGAAGCCUGAUGCAGCAACGCCGCGUGCGGGAUGACGGCCUUCGGGUUGUAAACCGCUUUCGCCUGUGACGAAGCGUGAGUGACGGUAAUGGGUAAAGGAGCACCGGCUAACUACGU
rnacentral:rRNA from 1 species